rnacentral:lncRNA from 1 species
UUCGAUUUCAUAAACAAUUCAGGCAAUAAACUAUAUUUGAUUUAAUAUAAUUAUUUAAUUUUAAGGGUCUACAGUAGUGGUUGUGAGAAGAACGACUAUCAUAGAUCAUUUUCUACUUCGAUUAUAGAAAUAACUAAGGCCAGAAAUGAAGGAGUACAUGGGAGUGCGUUUUGUUCAUCUCUUGUUUGCAUGUUAUUAUCCAA